rnacentral:rRNA from 1 species
UACGAAGGGGGCUAGCGUUGCUCGGAAUCACUGGGCGUAAAGCGCACGUAGGCGGAUUGUUAAGUCAGGGGUGAAAUCCUGGAGCUCAACUCCAGAACUGCCUUUGAUACUGGCGAUCUUGAGUCCGGGAGAGGUGAGUGGAACUCCGAGUGUAGAGGUGAAAUUCGUAGAUAUUGGGAAGAACACCGGUGGCGAAGGCGGCUCUCUGGACCGAGACUGACGCUGAGGCGCGAAAGCGUGGGGAGCAAACAGG